ensembl:lncRNA HISLA HIF1A stabilizing long noncoding RNA
ACUCAUAAGCCAGGACUUCCCAAGAGUGUCCCAUGGAACCUGAGUUCUAAGGACGGUACAUGAAAAAAAUCAACAUGGGUUCCAUGAUCAAAGAAGUUUGGGAAAUGGGCUAAAUGAAAGGACUUCCAAGGCCUUUUAUCUGCUAAUGAGAAAGAACAAGCCCUGUGAAAAACAAGCUGCUGUCCCUGCUAGAGGCAUCCUGCAAUCCAUGGAUGUUUAUCACCAAGCCAUUGUUAACAUGAGGUGGUUUCCAAAAGGAAAAGCUUUGGGAGAUAGAAGUCCUCGUUUUGACCUCUGCCCUCCUUGUACACCAGGAGCCAGAAAAACUUCAUCUCUUUUACAAGAAACAUUGAGAUUCCUGUAAAAUUAAGAAAUCACACAAUUUGAUGGUCUACAUUAUCUAAAGCAAAUGAGACUUCUAUUUGGAACAAAGACUACCUUGUUGGGAAAUGAGUCUGCAAGUUAAAGUGUUUUCUGGAUCCAGUAUCUGCCGGAGGAGCCCCACCUUCUGCUACUAUUAUGUUCUUCAGAUGAGUAGAAGAGAGUGGGGAGGGAGAGAGCAGGAAGAAGAAAGGAAGAAUAAUGUCUUGAAAUUGUUUUCUAAGGAUAAUGGUCUCCAGCUUCGUCAAUGUUCCUGCAAAGGACAUGAUGCUGACUUUGAAGAUGCAAGCUUCCACAUCUACAGCCUCAAGGAAACAAAUUCAGCCAACCAACUGAGGGAGCUUUCCUUGUCCUGCCUCAAGAUGAGAUCACAGUCUGCCCAACACCAUGAUUUAGGCCUUGUGACACCUGGUAUGGAAGACCCAGUUAAGUUCUCUCCAAACUCUUGACCCACAGAACCUGUGAGAAAAUAUAUGGAUAUUAUUUUAAACUGCUAAAUUUGUAGUAAUUUGUUAUGCAGCAAUAAAAAAAACUAA